UGAAAUGUCUGAAGCUGGGACAGUGUGGAGAAAUCACAUGGAUUCCCGACACACUGGAGGUUGUGGAGAAGCAGUGCAGCGAACACCUUCUGUUCCACAGAUAGCUUCUCAUCCUAAUGUGAUUGAUUUCCCCGUUUUCUCCAGGGAUUAUUUGAAGUGGACAGCAAAAGAAAUCCAGGCCAUCAACACCUUUGGUGAAAAGAAAUACUAGGACUUCGGUCUUGGGCCCAGGCCCACUGCUGACAGCAUGAUGGAAGGAUGCACUUGCGGUCUAGACUCCCCCUCCCGCCUCCUGGAGUGGGGGUGAGGCGGCGUGGGCAACGGUUGGGAAGCUGUCUGGAGGCCUCUUGCAGAGACAUCAGAAUGCUUUGUUAGAACAAGCGCUGGGGAUCCAUCCUGUGGCUCACCCUAUCAAGCUGAAACCGGAUGUUGCUGCCAAGUUCUUUGGAAGGCUAAACAUUGUUGCCCUUGAACAUCUGCGUCUGCAAAAAGUUCUAGAUGUCAACCUUGUGACUAUACUAAUAAAAUCCUUGAAAGGUGAACAGAGGACAAACUGUACCAAGCCUCUGGUCCAAUGGCAUCCUGGAGUGGAGGGGGCUGCUCUGUGCGUCCUGGAGGUCUCACCCUAACAUGCGUCAGGGCAGAGGAAGUCUUGAGAACCUUGUGGACUUAUCUGUGGCAUCUUGAGAUGAAUACAGCUCUCAGACCUCAUCGGAGAAGCGUCUUUGUGCAGUGGCCAUUCAUUGAUCGGUACAGAGACAAGAGGUCCAAGUGCAGAGAGUGUCUGUGGGGUGCUCAGCCACAGAA
rnacentral:lncRNA from 1 species